GAUGAACGCUAGCGGCAGGCCUAACACAUGCAAGUCGAGGGAGAAGCCCUUUCGGGGGCUGCACCCGGCGUAGGGGCGCGUAACGCGUUUGCAAGCUACCUUCCACCCUGGGAUACUCCGAUGAAUUUUGGAUUCCUACGCCAUAAUAUUAUUGGAUGGUAUAAUUCGAUAAUCAAUACUGCGGUGGUGAUAGAUGGGCAUGCAUCCUAUUAGCUAGUUGGUGUGGUAAAGGCACUCCAAGGCUACGAUAGGUAGGGGUCCUGAGAGUGAGAUCCCCCACACCGGUACUGAGGCAGAGACCAGACUGCUACGCGAGGCAGCAGUGAGGUAUAUUAGUCAAUGGUCGGAAGACUGAACCAGCCAUGCCGCGUGCAAGAAGAAUGCCUUAUGAGAUGUAAACUGCUUUUAUAGGAGAAGUAUAAAGCGUACGUGUACGUUGUUGACGGUACCAAAUGAGUAAGCAACGGCUAACUCCGUG
rnacentral:rRNA from 1 species